UGUAAAGGAUGCCCCGUCGACUUCCAGUUGGAGAAUAUGCAAUAUUCCGUUGUGAUCUAAAAUUGCCAGUUUCCUGUAAAAAACACACCAAGUUUAAAUUCAAUGGAAUACUUGAACCAUUUCAGCGCAACCAGGGUACACUCUGCCUUCAAACCGAGUUUCAUCUGCAAAUGUAGUAGCAAAAGAAAAUUUAUUAAAAUCAAGCUAUUAUCUGUCCAUCUGUCAAAAAGGGAAUACAUACUAUGAAUGUAACUGCACUGUCAUAAAGGUGUACUUCCCCAUUGCUUAAUCCAAAUAAUAUCAUUUUUGAGUCUGGUGACCAGUCAACUUGACUAAGUUGGACAUUCUUCAGGUCACGUCCCCA